rnacentral:snRNA from 1 species
AUGUUUACCUGGCAGAGAGAUACCAAGGUCAUAAAGGGUGGUUUUCCCAGGGUGAGACUAAUUCAGUGAACUGUAACAUUCGGGCCUCCAUCAUUCCCCAAAUGAGGAAAACUUUUGUCUACAUCAUUUGUUGUAGUGGGGGGUUGUGUUCAUGUCUUAUCCCAU